rnacentral:rRNA from 1 species
UGGUGGCGAGUGGCGAACGGGUGAGUAAUACAUCGGAACAUGUCCUGUAGUGGGGGAUAGCCCGGCGAAAGCCGGAUUAAUACCGCAUACGAUCUACGGAUGAAAGCGGGGGACCUUCGGGCCUCGCGCUAUAGGGUUGGCCGAUGGCUGAUUAGCUAGUUGGUGGGGUAAAGGCCUACCAAGGCGACGAUCAGUAGCUGGUCUGAGAGGACGACCAGCCACACUGGGACUGAGACACGGCCCAGACUCCUACGGGAGGCAGCAGUGGGGAAUUUUGGACAAUGGGCGAAAGCCUGAUCCAGCAAUGCCGCGUGUGUGAAGAAGGCCUUCGGGUUGUAAAGCACUUUUGUCCGGAAAGAAAUCCUUGGCUCUAAUACAGUCGGGGGAUGACGGUACCGGAAGAAUAAGCACCGGCUAACUACGUGCCAGCAGCCGCGGUAAUACGUAGGGUGCAAGCGUUAAUCGGAAUUACUGGGCGUAAAGCGUGCGCAGGCGGUUUGCUAAGACCGAUGUGAAAUCCCCGGGCUCAACCUGGGAACUGCAUUGGUGACUGGCAGGCUAGAGUAUGGCAGAGGGGGGUAGAAUUCCACGUGUAGCAGUGAAAUGCGUAGAGAUGUGGAGGAAUACCGAUGGCGAAGGCAGCCCCCUGGGCCAAUACUGACGCUCAUGCACGAAAGCGUGGGGAGCAAACAGGAUUAGA